GGGCCCGCACAAGCGGUGGAGCAUGUGGUUUAAUUCGACGCAACGCGCAGAACCUUACCAGCCCUUGACAUCCCGGUCGCGGACUCCAGAGACGGAGUUCUUCAGUUCGGCUGGACCGGAGACAGGUGCUGCAUGGCUGUCGUCAGCUCGUGUCGUGAGAUGUUGGGUUAAGUCCCGCAACGAGCGCAACCCCCGUCCUUAGUUGCUACCAUUUAGUUGAGCACUCUAAGGAGACUGCCGGUGAUAAGCCGCGAGGAAGGUGGGGAUGACGUCAAGUCCUCAUGGCCCUUACGGGCUGGGCUACACACGUGCUACAAUGGCGGUGACAAUGGGAUGCUAAGGCGCGAGCCGGAGCAAAUCUCAAAAAGCCGUCUCAGUUCGGAUUGGGCUCUGCAACUCGAGCCCAUGAAGUUGGAAUCGCUAGUAAUCGUGGAUCAGCACGCCACGGUGAAUACGUUCCCGGGCCUU
rnacentral:rRNA from 1 species